rnacentral:rRNA from 1 species
UACGGGGGGAGCAAGCGUUGUUCGGAUUUACUGGGCGUAAAGGGCGUGUAGGCGGUCCGCUAAGUCUGAUGUGAAAGCCCGAGGCUUACCCUCGGAAGUGCAUUGGAGACUGGCGGACUGGAGUCCCGGAGAGGAGGGUGGAAUUCCUGGUGUAGCGGUGAAAUGCGUAGAUAUCAGGAGGAACACCGGUGGCGAAGGCGGCCCUCUGGACGGUGACUGACGCUGAGACGCGAAAGCGUGGGGAGCAAACAGG